AGAGUUUGAUCCUGGCUCAGGACGAACGCUGGCGGCGUGGAUUAGGCAUGCAAGUCGAACGCGAAAGUUUCCCUUCGGGGGAAUGAGUAGAGUGGCGGACGGGUGAGUAACGCGUAGGUAUCUGCCUUUAAGUGGGGGAUAGCCCCGGGAAACCGGGAUUAAUACCGCAUGUGGAACUUCGGUUCUAAAGAUGGCCUCUGUUUCAAGCUAUCGCUUAGAGAUGAGCCUGCGUCCUAUUAGCUAGUUGGUAAGGUAACGGCUUACCAAGGCGAUGAUAGGUAGGCGGCUUUAACGAGUGGUCGCCCACACUGGGAUUGAGAUACGGCCCAGACUCCUACGGGAGGCAGCAGUCGAGAAUAGUCUACAAUGGAGGAAACUCUGAUAGUGCGACGCCGCGUGGAUGAAGAAGCAUUUCGGUGUGUAAAAUCCUUUUCUUUGUGAGCAAUGCCUGUAUGAUUAAUAGUUUUACAGGAGAGAUAUUAGCAGAGGAAUAAGCUCCGGCUAACUCCGUGCCAGCAGCCGCGGUAACACGGGGGGAGCAAGCGUUGUCCGGAAUUACUAGGCGUAAAGGGCAAGUAGGCGGAAUUGUAAGUCAGAUGUUAAAGGCACCGGCUCAACCGGUGUACGGCAUUUGAUACUGUAAUUCUAGAGUAAGGUGGGGGAAGAUGGAAUUCCUGGUGUAGCGGUGGAAUGCGCAGAUAUCAGGAAGAACACCAGAGGCGAAGGCGAUCUUCUAUACCAUUACUGACGCUAAAUUGCGAAGGUGUGGGUAUCAAACAGGAUUAGAUACCCUGGUAGUCCACACAGUAAACGAUAUACACUAGGUGUUGGGGGAGAUGAUCUUUCAGUGCCGUAGCUAACGCGUUAAGUGUAUCGCCUGGGGAGUACGGUCGCAAGAUUAAAACUCAAAGGAAUUGACGGGGGCCCGCACAAGCGGUGGAGCAUGUGGUUUAAUUCGAU
rnacentral:rRNA from 1 species